rnacentral:rRNA from 1 species
GCGAGAACCAGACCUUCGGGUCUGGGGACAGCGGCGAACGGGUGAGUAACACGUGGGUAAUCUGCCCUCGAUUCUGGGAUAGCCCGGGGAAACCCGGAUUAAUACCGGAUAGCCUCUCGAGCUUUCGGGCUCGUGAGAAAAGGUAGCUUCGGCCUCCGAUCGAGGAUGAGCCCGCGGUGGAUUAGCUUGUUGGUGGGGUAAUGGCCUACCAAGGCGACGAUCCAUAGCUGGUCUGAGAGGACGAUCAGCCACACUGGGACUGAGACACGGCCCAGACUCCUACGGGAGGCAGCAGUGGGGAAUCUCGCGCAAUGGGCGAAAGCCUGACGCAGCGACGCCGCGUGGGGGAAGAAGGCCUUAGGGUUGUAAACCUCUUUCAGCAGGGACGAAGCCACUCGGGUUAAUAGCCCAGAGGGUGACGGUACCUGCAGAAGAAGCCCCGGCUAACUACGUGCCAGCAGCCGCGGUAAUACGUAGGGGGCAAGCGUUGUCCGGAUUUAUUGGGCGUAAAGAGCGUGUAGGCGGCCGCACAGGUCCGUUGUGAAAACUGGAGGCUCAACCUUCAGACGUCGAUGGAAACCGUGCGGCUAGAGUCCGGAAGAGGAGAGUGGAAUUCCUGGUGUAGCGGUGAAAUGCGCAGAUAUCAGGAAGAACACCCGUGGCGAAGGCGGCUCUCUGGGACGGUACUGACGCUGAGACGCGAAAGCGUGGGGAGCGAACAGGAUUAGAUACCCUGGUAGUCCACGCCGUAAACGAUGGGUGCUAGGUGUGGGGGGGUGUCGACUCCCCCCGUGCCGAAG